AAACGUUAGGUCCCGGGAACCGUCCUAAAACCCGGGGCCAAAGGGGAACGGUACGGGUUACGUCGAAGGAGUGUCGAUGACUGGGGUG
rnacentral:rRNA from 1 species